CUGUGAAGCUGCUUGAUUCUGGGAGCUACAGACUUUGAAAGAAAAAUCACACAACCGAAAAUUUCCAAAGGAUACUGCACAAGGCAAUGCAAGGCAAGACACAGGUGAGGAUGUUAUGGACCUAAGGUGCUCUCAGUCUUCCUGAUGAAGUUUUCAUACAGCUUCUUGAUUAAACUCUAAAACAGAAAAGCUCCAUCCAAAGCCAAAGGUUGUUUCAAUCAAUUUAAUGAACUGGAUGCACUCUGCAUUUAUGGUUUCAGCAUAUAUUCCCUUCACUUCAGGACAGAGGCCAGACUCACUAAAAUAGAUGUGCAAGUUUGGAGGUAAAGAUACAUAUUUGACUGUCCAUUCUGGCAUAUCACUGAGACUGUUGAACUGUUUUUAAAACUCUAUUAACCAUUUUAAGCAAAUGUCCUGACCUGAACUCCUGUGGAUGUUUACUUUACCUGAUGGUGUAUUUUGACUUAGAGACAGCUUAAGAAAGUACUGCUUGUAAUUCAAGGAAAAUUCCAGUUUUAUUGCUGCAGUCUAGAUUCUGCCUUCCACUUGUCCCAUAUGCUUGCCAUGCCUCUUUUUGUUAUGUCAUGAUCCAGCUUUCUGUUCACUGUAUUAGUCUUGAACAAUUUUUUAACUUUCAGUGUUAGUGAAGCUACUUGUGGAGAAGAGUGAUAUCCAUCAUGUCAAAGAGGAGCAGAAUCUGGGCUUUUGACUGAAAAUUCCUCUGUGCUUUUAUUUUGCUACAGUGAACCUUAUGAAUCCUAUGCAGCUGACUAAAUUAAACUAUCCAGAAUAAGUGAUACCAAGGUCAGUUUUCAGCAAGAUGGUUUCUAGAAGCAAUGUGUUUAGAAAUGCUAAUUCUAUUUCUAUGCAUAAUUUCAGAAAAUAUUUCAGAAGUGAGAUUUUUUACAAAACGGAUGCAACCUUUUCCUUGGAAAUGUAUGUCAGUGGCUGAGAUAGUUACCCAAAACAGAAAAAAAGAUUUUCUUUAGUGUGCUGUAAAAUAAACUGAUUUCU